UUUGCACUCAACAGUAGGGGUUGGAUGGGAUGGGGUUGGGGGAGUGCUGAAGGAGGACAUCACCUGUGAGUAUCAACUCUUCAGUGCAUUACAGGAAAAUUUUGGAUUUUGGAAGAUUCCUGAGAAAAGAACUGGUACAGGUCUUCCCAGAAGUCAGAGUGAUUCAAAGCAGAAAAGAGGCUCUCCUGUUGACCUUGAGGAAGCAAUCUGCCAUGUUGUGGAGAGAACCACAUGGCUAGGAACAGCAUGUGGCCUCUAGGAGCUGGAAAUGAAUUGAACAAGCAGUGAGCUUGGAAGAAAACCCUAAGCCUCAAGUGAGAUUGUAACCUUGGCUAACACCUUGAUUCCAGCCUGGUGAGACCCUGAGCAGCUAUCCCAUACCUAUGCCCAGACCCACGUGGGAUAAUAAAUUUAUGCUGUC